AGAGUUUGAUCAUGGCUCAGGACGAACGCUUGCGGCGUGCCUAAUGUAUGCAAGUCGAGCGGGCCGGGCGCAAGUCCGGCUAGCGGCGAACGGUUGAGUAACACGUAGACAACCUGCCCCCAGGUUGGGGAUAACUCGCCGAAAGGCGGGCUAAUACCGAAUGUGGCGUUCCUGCGCAUGCGGGGAUGGCUAAAGGCGGAAGCCGCCUGGGGAUGGGUCUGCGGCCUAUCAGCUCGUUGGUGGGGUAACGGCUCACCAAGGCGACGAUCGGUAGCUGGCCUGAGAGGGUGGUCAGCCACACUGGGACUGAGACACGGCCCAGACUCCUACGGGAGGCAGCAGUGAGGAAUAUUGGGCAAUGGGCGCAAGCCUGACCCAGCGACGCCGCGUGUGGGAUGACAGGGCUAUGCCUUGUAAACCACUGUCGGGUGGGACGAAAAGCGAGCUACGGCUCGCCGGGACGGUACCACCAAAGGAAGGGUCGGCUAACUACGUGCCAGCAGCCGCGGUAAUACGUAGGACCCAAGCGUUAUCCGGAUUCACUGGGUGUAAAGGGUGUGUAGGCGGGCGUGCGCGUCUGGGGUGAAAGGUUCCGGCUCAACCGGAAAUAUGCCUUGGAUACGGCACGUCUUGGGUGCGGGAGAGGACGGUGGAAUUCCUGGUGUAGCGGUGAAAUGCGUAGAUAUCAGGAGGAACACCAGUGGCGAAGGCGGCCGUCUGGCCCGCAACCGACGCUGAAACACGAAAGCGUGGGGAUCAAACAGGAUUAGAUACCCUGGUAGUCAAGGGCGAAUUCGUU
rnacentral:rRNA from 1 species